AUUCUGAGAACCCACCUCCUAAAACACUAUCCACUUGAAAAUCAUUUAUCUGUGAGAACCAUCCUAGGUGGUUUAGCCAAACAUCAGACUUUGUUUUGAAGUGUUUCUUCUUCCCAUUUUGAAGCCCUAUGGGUACCUCUUUUUGAUAAAUUUCCAUUCAUUGUGACUUUUGCCUCAAGUCCCUGUCUGACCAUCCUCAUCGCUGUUUAUUCCCUCAUCGCUGGAACAUCCUGUGCUCUCUGCUGCACUGAGCAACCACUUUCCAUUCCCUCUUCCAGAACAGAUGCUUCCUCCCAAAGGAUGGUCCUAUCAAAAAGUGAGAAAGGGUGACUGUGUAUUUAUUAUAUUUUAAAUUUAAGAUAUAGUUUAUUAUCUUAUGUAUGUAUCUUGAGAUCCAAGAAAAGGAGAAUUUUAAUAUUUUCACUUGCUCUUGCAAAUUUUUCAACAUUGAUGGAAAAGUAAGCAAAGCUUAAGAGAGAACAGUCAAGUGUGGCUGUUGUAAACAAAUAUGUAGCAAGCCAGAACACUUAAAACAAAUGCAGCAGGUACUUUGCAAAACUGUUGUCUCAAAUAAGCAUUCUAAACUUCUCUAGUUAUAUUUAUUGGUCUGUGACUGCCUGAGAUAUCUAUGUCUUUGGAGACUAUUGAAAAAUAUUCACAUACUUGCCAGCUUAUCCAAUUUAGGAACAAUAUAGAAAUAAUAAAAGUUUUCUGUGUGCAUAUUUUUUUUUUUAAUUUUCAACCUGGCUAUUUACUUUUUUUUUUUUUUAAUUUGGUAGUUUAUUUCAUGUUUUACAGCGCUGUACAGUAUUAAUAAUUUUCCUCCAAUUUUCAGACCACUUUCAUAUGAUCAUGAUUUUUAUCCCCAUAAUUAUUUUUUAUGUGAUGUGUAAUGUUCUGGUCAGCAUAUUUCAAGUCAUUCUCAGAUGCUGUUUAGUUCAAUAAUGAAGCCAUCAGUAUCUGCAAUUUGGGAGGUGAACCAAAAAUCAUGGAGUUAGCUGCAUUAGUUUAAAAUCAACUCACUGUGAAAAUAAGAUUGCCCCUAGUUCUUUAUUAUAUGACUGCAGGCUGCUGCUAACUGGGCAGUGCAUUGUAGCACAACACUAUCACAGCAGGAACAGCAAAGAACUGAAAGCAAUAUUGAGUUGGAUGAAUUUAAUUUUAAUCUAGAUCAUUCUUACCAGAAUGAUUCCUUUCAGAGGCAGUGUUAUAUGAAAGCAGUGGUUAGGUUUUAAUGUCAUAUGGUGUUCUAGUUUAUUUGUCUUUACAAAAGAGAUGCAUUCAUCUUCCUUAACUCUGAUGCCAUCUCAAACUACUGAAAGUUCAAGUAAGUGUUUUGUCCCAAUUAAUUUGAUAUGAGCAGUAGUGUAACUGAGAUUCUGUUGCUUCUCUUGAGAAAUUUAUCUCAUGGUCCACAUGAGUUCAGAGAAUCACCAAAUCACAAAAUGUGCCAGGCUGUUUAAAUGUGGUUAGUGUAUAUACAUGUUUUGUGUGUGUAUAUGCAAGUACAUACACACACACACACACACACACACACACACACACACACACACACAUACACACAGAGUUAAAGCUGUAUUAUUUACUGCCAAAUUUCAUGUGUUAAAUGAUUUAUUAUCUUCUUUACAAGAUUUGUUUAGAAAUUUUUAAUUGAUUACUUACCUCUCUCUUACUUGUUCUGUAGGCAGCUGAGUUAUUUGAAACAGGCCUUCCUAUAGGAAUUAUCUUUCCUAUGGAUUGAUCUCUUUUACCAAUUUGUUGAUGUUUAACAAAAUAUCAGAUAUUUACAGGAGCUGUUUCAUAGCUAUUUAAUCAGAUUUCUUUCCUCAUGUCGAGUCUAUUAAUUUCUAUCCACAGCUGAAACAGGGGUUGAACAUCGGAGUUUUGUAAAGACUUACUGGAGUGUAAUUUUUAAUGUAUAUAUGUGUUUACACAUAAGAAUGCCUCACAAAAAAUCGAAUAAAUUUACAUAACUGUGAUAUAAAAAAUAUCUAUGAUGAUUUCAUACAGGUAUAAAGCCAGCAUACGUAUAAUUAGUCAAUCUUUUAUGUGAGACCAGAUGAUCAUUUUACAAGAUGCUUUAGAAUAAAUGUUUACAGACUUUCUCUUGUUGGUAGUUGACCAUGUUUAAGAGUCAGCAAAGCAGGAAUCAAAAACGAUCUUAUUUUGCAGUAGUUCCGCAUGAACCCCAAUAAAAGGUUCCAUGUUCUUAAGGAAUUUUACCCCUAAGGCUUUGAUUCAACAAUAAUUUCUGAUUCAUAUUCUUGAUAAAAGGACAUUAAGUUCUUUCUGUAUUUCUUUAACCAAUAUUUUUCCUAAUACCUAAAUGUGUAAAACCUUUGAAAGGGUGAUUCUGUUUUAAAUAAUUAACUGAUCCCUAUUCAUACCAUGAGUAUUAAUGAAAUUCUGUGUCUCUUUCAAACUAGCAGCACCUGAAUAGACUAAAAUAGAUUAGAAAGAAUAAUUGCUGAAUUUAAAAGUGAACUGCUUAUUAAAUCAAAGUAGUCUAUGAGUUGUUUUAGCAGGCAGUCAGUGUGGAAACCAUUUACCAGUUGCUAGGAUGUCUCAUUUCUAGUGUUGACCUUCAGCUGUAUCAAGUCAGUGCCUGCUGUGGAAGAGUGCAGAGGAGCAGGCAGCCUGGCUGUGUGCUCUGCCGGAUUGCCGGGGCUGGCUGAGCACGGGCACAAUGCUCAGCGCUUUACAGCAGUGCCAGGAGUGCCUGGGAUCCCAGGAAAACAUGCUCCCACUGCAAACUGCCCUCCCAUCCAGCCCACUCAAGAGAUGAGCGGAACUGAGUGGUGAUGAUGGGCAUUUUACCUCUGUGUUUGUCUACUUCAGCAACUUUUCUUGUCUUACAGGGGUUUUCUGUGCCUAUGGAGAAGAUUUUUGUAAAUAAAUAUGUUUAAAUAAAUAUGUUUAAAUUAACACUGUAGCUACACUGUGAUUUCAUGGUAUAUACCAGAGAGCAUCGUCUACUACAUGAAAGUACAUGAACAAAGAGAUGCUAUUUUUUCAAGAUAAUGAGACAAAGGCAGUGAUUUUAUAUAUAUAUAUAUAUAUAUAUAAAUAAAUAUAUAUAUAAUCACUUAUUGUCUGGCUAUUGAAAAGAUUCCUUAAAAGAAAUACAACCACAGAUUCAUGUAUUUUUUUAAUGUUGUAUAACCAGUAUUUUACACUGUUCAUGUCCUAAAAAUGGAUAUAGAUUUUAUUUAUUUUGAUUUUUUUUUAUUUGUUUUUGACAGGUGAAGGAUUGCUCAUAUGGACACAUAGCAAUUUUUAUCAUGAUUCCCAUUCCUUAAUGUAUCACAUUAUUAGUUAUUUUUAGACUUUUCAGUCUUUCACAAUAAAAAAUUAAAACAUCCAUUUUGAUCUAAAGUGUUUUAUAUGUGUUAUUAUAAUUAGACUAUCUUAUUCGUAUGAAGUUAACUUUAAAAGAUGCUAAGAGACAUCCACUAUGUUUAAAACUCAUCUGGACAAAACAUUUUAAACUCAUUUGGUUUCAUCUUACUAAUACUGCAUAGAUUAUUUUGAAUUGUGUUUUCACAGGGAAAAAAUUUAGAUUUUAAUUAUAAGCCAUUUAGAAUAUUUCAUCAUUAUAACCUAUGGUUUCCUCAAAUACUGUCAACAAUGUUCCUGUUUAAGGAAGUUAGGGGAGUUUCAACUUUGCCAAUCUCAUCUGCAUCAUUCAUCUUUUAGUCAUAUUUUUAAAUAUAGAAGUUUUUGUAUUCACAGUAAGCCACAAUAUCUUUCCAGUGGUUUCAUAUUAAAUUAAUGAAAAGGUGUAUGUUACUGAAUGUGUUUUAUGUUCACAUUUUAUGCUCAGCUCACAACUAAUACUCUGUGUUAGAUCAGGAAGGUGAGGGAGAAUAAAAAAGAAAAAUAAUGCAUCUAUUGUUUAAAAUAUGCCCAUUCCCUUACAGUGUAAGCACUGAAUUAAAGAAUUCAGUAAAUAUUUAUCAUUGCUAAUAUAUAGGAACAGAGGAACAUGUGUUUGGAGGAGAACUUUAGCCAUGGAUUGCACAUGUGAAUAAUUUGGAGUAGAGAUUGUGGUAAAAAAUAGGUUUAUUCAAUUGCAAUCCCAUUACAGGAAACAGUUCCUGAAGUUCAAAUAAGAGAUUUUAAUUUUUAAGAACUUAUGGGAUGUUAAUAUGUGUGAAAGCUCCCUCUGAAACAUUUGCCGUGGAGUACUGUGCUCUUCAAAUUCCAGUCAAUUGUUCUCAAAGUCAAAACUGUCUAUCAUGAGAACAAAAUGUACUAUUAUGCUGUUCUGUCUGCUGAAAGAUCAACACAUCUUCUUUUUGUCACUAAAGAGGUACAUUUUUCAGGAAAUUUCAAACAGGAAUGAUAAAAAAAAAAAAAGAAGCACUCAUUCAAAAAUAUUGAACAGAGUUAAAAAGGGAUGGAUAUUUAACCUGCAUAAUGGGCAUUGAGUUUUUAAGUCCAGUCAUUUAUUAUUUCAUAAAUAUUUAGGCUUCGUUAAUUUUCAUUAGUAGCACAUUUCAUCAUACAGUAUCUUCAGAAAAUGUAAAAAUACAGUACAAUUUUUAAACAUAGAUAACAAUCUGAAAUAUGAAUCUAAUUAAAAGAAAAAGUAAAAAUGGCCAUAGUGGAUCGGUUGUUUGUCUUUGCCCUGGUUACAAAUGGCACAGUAUAUUGUCUCCCACACUGACCAGUAGCUAGUGUUUAGAGGAAGUGUAAAAGAAAUGAUCCAAAUGUAAAGUAAUUCUUCACUUAGUACCUUGUGGCUUCUUAUGAUCAACAUUUUGCAAUUUUUUUAAUCUCAGUUUGCAGUCAAGUCAUUGUGCUUUAUAUAUUAUGAAGGUCUCUUUCCUGAAUUUAUUUUAAUUGUUUUUUAAACCUUUCAUAUCUUUGAUCCUCAUAACUGCAUGCUACCAUGAGUUCCACAAUUUAAUUAUAUAUGAAAAGUAUUAUAUUUUGUUUGUACUAAGCUUCUGAAGCAGUAAUUUUUGUGAUAUGUCCCAGUUCUUUUCCUGCAAGGAAUACCUUAUUUGAUUCAUCCAGAAAUUAUCUGGAAAGGGGAAUGCAGAGAAAGCUGAUCAAGUUUGCUGAUGAUAUUGACCAGUUUAGAAUAGCAAAAAGGAGAACCACAAGUGAAGAACUGAAGAAAAACCUUGUGAGGUGGGGCAAGAAAUCGGGAGUUGAAAUUUUUUUUGAAGUAAUGAGAAAUGCAGCAGAGAGGAAAAAAUUCAGCUUCAUAUUUAAAAUGAUGGGCUCUGAAAUGACCCUUACGGCAGAGGAGCCAGCUCUUCAAAUUAUAAUGGAUGGUUCAGUUAAAAUGUCUGUGAUCAUCAACAGUCAAGAAAUCAAGUUAAAAGUUAAAAAUUAUUGGGAAAAGAAUAAACUUCAAAAUGAAAUAAUAUUAAUAUGCAGAUGCUUAAAUACGUGAAGCACCUGCAAUUUUAUCAUUAUCUAUACUUCUGAUCCCUCAUCUUACAGACAAUAUGGUUGAAUUUUAAAGGGCUCAGAGAAGGGCACCAAAGAUUAUCAAGGGUGCGGAAUUUCUCUUGUAGUGGGAUCAACCAAAUAAGGCUCUACUUCAAUCUGUAAAUAGUUUCCUCAUCAUGAUGUGAUAGAGGUCUUAGAAACAUGAAUGGCAUGUCAGGGUUUUGUAGGGACUGAGUGUUCACUGUGUAUUACUAAUGCAAGACAGCAAGGUGGUAAAGCAGAGCGCUGGUUCCACAUGAAUAGAAAAGGAACUUUUAGUAAAAUUGUUGAGGUUAACCUGGAAGAGCAGUUCUUUGAUCCUAAAUGUUGUGGGUACUAAAAGUUUAUGUGGAAUUAAAGGGAAAUUGGAAAGAAAUCAUAGAAAAAUAGUAAAGAUCAUCUAGAUCCACCCAAUCUGCCAAAGGCAGGGACACCUUCCACUAGACUAGGUUGCUCAAAGCUCCAUCCAACCUGGACCUUCAACACUUUCAGGAAUGGAGCAUCCACAAUUUAUGUGGACAACCUGCUCCUGUACCUUACCAUCCUCACAGUAAAAAUUUUCUUCCUAAUAUCUAACUCAAACCUACUCUCUUCCAGCUUGAAGUCAUUGCCCCUUCUCCUAUCACUACAUGUCCUUGUGGAAAGACCUCUCCAGCUCUCUUCUAGGCUCUCUUCAGGUACUGAAAUGCCACAAUAUGGUCAGCCCAGACCCUUCUUUCCUCCAGGCUGAAUAACCACAACUUUCUAUAUCUCUCUAUUGAAUAUAGAAAAGAAAUACAUGGAAAUCCUGAUUAUGUAGGCAGUAACUAAACUAGAAAUGGUUGCAGACUGAGGCCUCCUAGAAGAUGUACAUGCUGAACCCAUUCUUAGCCUGUCUACAUGAGCCUGAGUUUUUUGUUGCUGUCAGGAUGCUGGGCUGACCUGACUAUUGUUCAAUAUGGCCUCUCUUCAGUUCUGUGAAGAAAUACUCCUUUUCUUGUUCCCUGUUUUAUACUAUCAAAGAUUUUAUGGACCCAUAUCUUGGAUCACUACUAAUGAUCUCUCUUCUUCAGUUAAAAUUUAUAUAUUCAGUUAAAGUAUAUAUUCUUUUUUCCAUAGGAAACUUCUUUUACACUGAUUAUCACUGUUACUUUUUUUACCUUUUCCAAUUCAAUUCAUUUGGGUUUUUUAAAGGUGGGAUGACUGGAGUGAAAUUCACUGUUAAAGAUUUGAACAUACUGUGGAUUUCAGAAAUAUAAUUUUCCCAAAAAUUUCUUACUUUUUCUCUUUUUUUUUUUUUUUUGACUGCUUGUGAAUGUUGAAUUACGGUUUUCAGAAAUUUUCUGUAGAAUGCCAUAUAUCUUUUUUUCAGGGUAGAAAGUAUCUAAUAAAUAUAUACUAAAUGUACCUGUAAAGACAGUUAUAUUUCUUUUAUAUAUUAACUCUCAUUUAUCAAUAAUGAAAUUAAUCUACCUUAUUAUUUUGCUGUUUUUUAGUAUUGGAGGAUGAUUCUGGGAUUCUUUCCAACCACCUAUAUGUUUGAGCACCUCCAAUACCUGUGGUCUUUCUUACAUAGUAAGUAAUUUAUGAGUAUGUCAAACAGCAUAGUCUUCAGCACAGAUUUUUCAGAAAUAAAAAGAGAACAAA
ensembl:lncRNA